rnacentral:misc_RNA from 1 species
UACGGAGGGUGCGAGCGUUGUCCGGAAUUAUUGGGUUUAAAGGGUGCGCAGGCGGUUAUUUAAGUCAGAGGUGAAAUCCUAUCGCUUAACGAUAGAACUGCCUUUGAAACUGGAUAACUUGAGUACAGUAGCGGUAGGCGGAAUUGAUGGUGUAGCGGUGAAAUGCAUAGAUAUCAUCAGGAAGGCCAAUUGCGAAGGCAGCUUACUGGACUGGAACUGACGCUGAGGCACGAAAGCGUGGGUAGCGAACAGG